rnacentral:rRNA from 1 species
GACGAACGCUGGCGGCGUGCUUAACACAUGCAAGUCGAACGGAAAGGCCCCGCUUGCGGGGUACUCGAGUGGCGAACGGGUGAGUAACACGUGGGUGAUCUGCCCUGCACUUCGGGAUAAGCCUGGGAAACUGGGUCUAAUACCGGAUAGGACCCCUCUUUAGUGUGGGGGGUGGAAAGUUUUUUCGGUGUGGGAUGAGCCCGCGGCCUAUCAGCUUGUUGGUGGGGUAAUGGCCUACCAAGGCGUCGACGGGUAGCCGGCCUGAGAGGGUGGACGGCCACAUUGGGACUGAGACACGGCCCAGACUCCUACGGGAGGCAGCAGUGGGGAAUAUUGCACAAUGGGCGCAAGCCUGAUGCAGCGACGCCGCGUGGGGGAUGACGGCCUUCGGGUUGUAAACUCCUUUCAACCAUGACGAAGCUUUCGGGUGACGGUAGUGGUAGAAGAAGCACCGGCUAACUACGUG